GAUGAACGCUGGCGGCGUGCCUAAUACAUGCAAGUCGAACGAGGUGCUUUUGUAGCAAUACGAAAGUAUCCUAGUGGCGAACGGGUGAGUAACGCGUUGGUGACCUACCCCAAAGUGUGGGAUAACAGUUCGAAAGAACUGCUAAUACCGCAUGUGGUUAUCGGAUUUAGAAACUGAUAACUAAAGGAGCAAUUCGCUUUGGGAGGGACCUGCGUCCCAUCAGCUAGUUGGUGAGGUAAUGGCUCACCAAGGCUACGACGGGUAGGGGACCUGAGAGGGUGACCCCCCACAAUGGAACUGAACAACGGUCCAUACACCUACGGGUGGCAGCAGUAGGGAAGUAUUGCACAAUGGGCGGAAAGACCUGAUGCAGCAACG
rnacentral:rRNA from 1 species